AUUGAACGCUGGCGGCAGGCCUAACACAUGCAAGUCGAGCGAGCGGCGGACGGGUGAGUAAUGCCUGGGAAUUGCCCAGUCGAGGGGGAUAACAGUUGGAAAAGAAUGCUAAUACCGAAUACGAUUGGAUGGCCCAGGUGGGUUUAGCUAGUUGGUGAGGUAAGGGCUCACCAAGGCGACGAACCCUAGCUGGCCUGAGUGGAUGAUCAGCCACCUUGGAAAGUAGACACGGCCCAGACUCCUAGGGUGGUAAGCAGUGGGAAAUAUUGGACAAGGGGGGAAACCCUUGUGCAGCCAUGCCGCGUGUGUGAAGAAGGCCUUCGGGUUGUAAAGCACUUUCAGCGAGGAGGCGUUACUCGCAGAAGAAGCACCGGCUAACUCCGUGCCAGCCGCCGCGGUAAUUC
rnacentral:rRNA from 1 species